rnacentral:rRNA from 1 species
CACGCCGCGGUGAAUACGUUCCCGGGCCUUGUACACACCGCCCGUCACACCACGAGAGUUUGUAACACCCGAAGUCGGUGAGGUAACCUUUUGGAGCCAGUCGCCUAAGGUGGGAUAGAUGAUUGGGGUGAAGUCGUAACAAGGUAGCCGUAUCGGAAGGUGCGGCUGGAUCACCUCCUUUCUAAGGAA